GAUCAUUUUCAAAUAGACUAGAUUUCUCAAAACACUCAACACAAAAUGCCUUCCCUUGGUUAUUUUCGUUUCCCUCUCACCACAUUAUCUUUUCAUUUAAAUCUUCCGCCCAACACAUCAUUCAUCACUCUUGCGUUGGUGCGUACCGAUCAUUGCAUCUUUGAUUUUGCAGCGGAGAGAGUGUGAGAAUGCGGGAGGUAGUGCGCAUAUGUUGUCCUCCAAUGGAUCUGUUUCACUCGGAGUCGAUGUAAUUGGUUCAGCUCAUCAUCCCAAUCGAAAGAGUUGCUUGGUUUGGCUUGAGAAAAGGAAAAGUGAAGAAGGAAAGUAGGGUUUUGGCAGAGGAUAAUAGAAGUUUGGGAAUACCAAUUGCUCCAUGAGGCAUUAGGUCACGUGGUGACGAUUGAGCUCAAGAGUGGCGAACUCUACCAUGGAAGCAUGAUCGAGUGCGAGGACAACUGGAAGAGCCUCACCUACACCACCAAGGUUCCGUUUCUCAUCUUCCUCACAUCGCCAAUUCCUCACCCUUUCUAACCUAUUUCUUUUGUAAAUGGAUCUAAUAAGGACAAACUCCAGUUUUCUCUGCAUUUCGAUUUGCAAUCUCAUGUAUAAGGGAAGAAAAAGGAACAAUAAUAGGUUGAAUUAGCAUCACUUACUGGCUUCGCUGAACCUAUGGAAGUUAUAAUAGUAGGUGACAACAACCUUGAGGAAAUCAUCCUCGGAAUUUAUUUUACAAAGAGUAAUGAAUGGACUGGUGCUUAUUCAACUAAAGUUGACGUCGCCAAAGCUCAUGAUUUGGUGUCAAUCAGAAUUGGGGGCUUAAAAGCAUUAACCAAUUUUCAUGUUAGGUGUUAUUCCAAGGACAUGGAUGAAAUGAGAAGAAUGAGCAAAUGAGACUAUAUUUGUGCAGUUAGAGGGGAAGGAUUUACAGCAGAUUCAUUUUCCAUGUGUUUUGGGAGUGAUGGCAUUGGAAGGAUAAGUUUUGGGGACAAGGGAAGUUUUGAUCAAGACGAGACACCAUUUAAUCUGAAUCCAUCACAGUAGCCUUGCCUAUAAUGUCGCAGUCACUCAAGUCCGUGUAGGAAUAACUCUAAUUGAUGUGGAAUUCACAACCCUCUUUGAUUCUGGGACCUCUUUCACAUAUUUGGUUGCUCCAACUUAUACGAGACUUACUGAGAGUUUUCAUUCCCAAGUACAAGACAUGCGGCGUCCAUCAGAUUCAAGAAUCCCUUUUGAAUAUUGUUAUGACAUGAGGUUAUAAAACUAUUGGAAUAUUAUUUAAUAUUAUUUAUUUUAGUUUUUCUUUCAAGCUGUAAGUAUUCUUUCUUAUGAUGGACAGUCCUGAUGCAAACACUAGCCUGAUUCCUAGUGUAGGUUUAACUAUGGGAGGUGGAAGCCAUUUUGCUGUUUAUGAUCCAAUAAUUAUUAUCUCUACUCAGGUGUUAGUUCUUGCUGGAUUGUUCUUCAAAAUAAGUAUACAAAAAUUGUGUUAUCUUUGAGGAUAUAUAUGCAUAAC